rnacentral:lncRNA from 1 species
GUAAUUUUAAAACUUUUUCAAAAUUACUAUUUUACAGCGGAAUUAUUGAUUAAUCUCAUUAAUUAAUAUUAAUUAACCCUACACUAGGAUCUAAAUAUGAUACAACAGCAUGCAUUUAAAUUUGAAAUUCAAAUUUGAAUCAGUAAACGUUUUACAGUACUGUGUUCAGAACACAUCACCUUUUGCGGGUAGUCGAUCACCGCAAUCUGAUCACCGUCGGAGGGCUCUGAUUGUCACGUCGCAGCCACCCAACUGUCUGGCCUCUGCGGAUCAUCCACACGAAGCUCCCG